rnacentral:lncRNA from 1 species
UAAAGGCUUUAUUGGGGCCACAUGAUGUGUGUCUCACUUCCCCACUGGCCGCAGGAGCUACCUUAGGGCAGAAAUUCUUCACCCUAAAUCAAGUGUGGUGGUGCCAUUAAUAUUUGGGGUUAAUAUCUAUAGUUAUUCUCCAAGACCUUAAAUUAGUACAAAAGACAUACAUUCAUUUCUAUAUCAAAGUGUGUACAAUUUAAAAUUAACAUCAACCCCAGCAUGGAAGCACUCACUGUGGUAAUCCCAGCACUGGAGAAGCUGAGGAAAGAGGAUCAUUCAGUCCAGAGCCAGCCUGAGCUACUAAACAACAUGCUUCAGAAAUCAAAAACAAAAUAAGCUGGGCGUAGUAAUACUGAUCUGUAAUCCCAGCAUUCAGGAGCAAAGACAGAAGGGGAUGCUGGGGACCAAAUCCAAGACCUCAACAUGCUGAAUGAGAAGUCUACCACCAAGCUACAUCCACAGGCCAUAAGCAGGCCAAGCAGUCGUCCUGAAGAUGGGGUAAUAUGGCCGGAGACUAAGCCCAGGAACAACACCGACAUACUUACUAACCUGAAGUACCGGACGAGGCUGAGUCCUUCGGCUAUGACGGGCCACUCUGCUUCCUCCAGGCCUAGAGCACAUGCGGAGGCAGGCUACACUCUGGUUGGCUGCUUCUCUGUUGGCCUUGCAGCUAAUCUCAAAAGCCUUACCCUCAACAUCUGCCCUGUCCUCCAGCAUCCAGACACCCAUCUUUCAUCACAGACCUCCACUGCAGAGGACAGCUGGCUUGCCCAGUGGGGAACUUGUACAAGGAACGCCGUGGCUUGAAUUAGACCUUCCUUUCCAGAGUAAAACCGUACUUUCCAACAUUAGUGUCCGCGCCUCACUAGGAGGUGCCGGGUCUAUCAGGCCCCAGUGAAGCUUGUUCCUGUUACUCUGUGAGCACUGUGACUGUCUUUCCAUGAACAUUGUGUAAAAUGGCACUUCGGCUAUCUCCAUAUCCCUACCAUAUGCAACACUCUGAAUGUCACCCAAAAAUUCAGGUCCCAUCCUGAUAAGAGAUGGGGCCUUUAAAAUGGAAUAAGGAGCCUGAUGACCCAUAUUCAAUCCCUGGGACCCCCAAGGCGGAAGGAGGGAACCAAGACUGUAAGUUGUGCUCUGAUCCCACAGGCACAAGACAAAAAUCCCAUGCACAAUCAAUCAACUCAUCAGUGUAAUAAAAAAAAUUAAUGAAGCCAGGCAUAGUGACCAUGUCUUUAAUCCCAACAUUAAGGAGAACAAGGCAGGCUGAUCUCUGGAGUUCAAGGCCAGUCUGGCCUACCUAUAUCUAGUUCCAGGUGUAUCAGGGCUACCUUGCCAAAACCAAAACCAAAC